CCUACGGGAGGCAGCAGUGAGGGAUAUUGGUCAAUGGCCGUAAGGCUGAACCAGCCAAGUCGCGUGAAGGAAGAAGGAUCUAUGGUUUGUAAACUUCUUUUAUAGGGGAAUAAAGGUAUCCACGUGUGGAUAUUUGCAUGUACCCUAUGAAUAAGCAUCGGCUAACUCCGUGCCAGCAGCCGCGGUAAUACGGAGGAUGCGAGCGUUAUCCGGAUUUAUUGGGUUUAAAGGGUGCGUAGGUUGUUUUUUAAGUCAGCGGUGAAAGUUUGUGGCUCAACCAUAAAAUUGCCGUUGAAACUGGAAGACGUGGGUGUGGUUGAGGUAGGCGGAAUGCGUGGUGUAGCGGUGAAAUGGAUAGAUACCACGCAGAACUCCGAGUGCGAAGGCAGCUUACUAAGCCAUAACUGACACUGAAGCACGAAAGCGUGGGGAUCAAACAGGAUUAGAUACCCGGUAGUC
rnacentral:rRNA from 1 species